CACGUAGGGGACGAGCGUUGUCCGGAUUCAUUGGGCGUAAAGCGCGCGUAGGCGGCUCGGAAAGUCGGUCGUGAAAUGCCGGGGCUCAACCCCGGGACUGCGUCCGAUACUCCCGAGCUGGAGGCAGGUAGGGGAGAUCGGAAUUCCUGGUGUAGCGGUGAAAUGCGCAGAUAUCAGGAGGAACACCGGUGGCGAAGGCGGCCCCCUGGUUGGAUACUGACGCUGAGACGCGAAAGCGUGGGGAGCAAACAGG
rnacentral:rRNA from 1 species